rnacentral:rRNA from 1 species
GAUCAUGGCUCAGGAUGAACGCUAGCGGCAGGCUUAACACAUGCAAGUCGAGGGGCAUCGGGAGUAGCAAUACUGCCGGCGACCGGCGCAAGGGUGCGUAACGCGUGAGCAACAUGCCCGUAUCAGGGGGAUAAUCCAUGGAAACGUGGUCUAAUACCCCAUAGUAAUUAUGUAAGGCAUCUUAUAUAAUUUAAAGCUUUGGUGGAUACGGAUUGGCUCGCGUGACAUUAGCUAGAUGGUAAGGUAACGGCUUACCAUGGCUACGAUGUCUAGGGGUUCUGAGAGGAAGGCCCCCCACACUGGAACUGAGACACGGUCCAGACUCCUACGGGAGGCAGCAGUGAGGAAUAUUGGACAAUGGAUGGAAAUCUGAUCCAGCCAUGCCGCGUGCAGGAAGACGGCCCUAUGGGUUGUAAACUGCUUUUGUAUGGGAGCAAUAAGGGCUACGCGUAGUCCGAUGAGAGUACCAUACGAAUAAGCACCGGCUAACUCCGUGCCAGCCGCCGC